AUCUUGUGGGAAGAUUUUCAAUUACUGAUUCAAUUUCUUUGAUCGUUUAGAAAUAUUUUUGUUUUCAUCUCCUGCUACAAUCUGCUCCAGUUCAGCAGAUUCAGGGCCCUGCUUCCUCAUGAUUUGACAUGACAGAGCCUAUGAGAAGAUCUUCUGAGAACUCCAACCUCCUCUGCCUCUUAUAAAAGGCAGACAGAACAGCCAGAGAAAUGGAGAGCAGAGAACAACCCUGAAGCUGAAGCCACAUCCUUGCCCUCCACCAUACAAGUUUUAGCAUCACUUCUGUGCCUGCUACUAACAGCUACUGCCGUCAGCAUCCAGGUGCUGGCUCAGACUGAUGUGAAACACGACGAGGAGACCCCGUUUGCAUGCUGUUUCUCAUUUCUCAGCAAGACAAUCCCCUUGCAUUUUCUGAGAGACUAUCAGCUCACUAGUGACAUGUGUUCCCUGAAGGCUGUCCUCUUCAAAACCAAGAAGAACAGACAAGCCUGUGCCAACCCCAAGCAGAAGUGGGUCCAGGACGCCAUGAUAUACCUGGACCACCACUUCUCUCCCUGAUGACAUGAGCAGCUCUCCACUCACCCAGACCCCAGCCUGAGGGUGAGAAGUGAUGGCUCAAUUCUGCCCCCACCUGCCCACCUGUACACUGGAAUAACUUUACAGUAACUUCCAAGUAAAAUAUUUCUGAUUUGUGAUGCAAAAUAUACUGUAUAUCCAGGAAUGUUCACUAUUAUUUGAGUUGUGUAACUGUUUUGUGUUUC